rnacentral:rRNA from 1 species
GAUGAACGCUGGCGGCGUGCCUAAUACAUGCAAGUCGAGCGAACAGACGAGGAGCUUGCUCCUCUGACGUUAGCGGCGGACGGGUGAGUAACACGUGGAUAACCUACCUAUAAGACUGGGAUAACUUCGGGAAACCGGAGCUAAUACCGGAUAAUAUAUUGAACCGCAUGGUUCAAUAGUGAAAGACGGUUUUGCUGUCACUUAUAGAUGGAUCCGCGCCGCAUUAGCUAGUUGGUAAGGUAACGGCUUACCAAGGCAACGAUGCGUAGCCGACCUGAGAGAGUGAUCGGCCACACGGGAGCUGAGACACGGUCCAGACUCCUACGGGAGGCAGCAGUAGGGAAUCUUCCGCAAUGGGCGAAAGCCUGACGGAGCAACGCCGCGUGAGUGAUGAAGGUCUUCGGAUCGUAAAACUCUGUUAUUAGGGAAGAACAAAUGUGUAAGUAACUAUGCACGUCUUGACGGUACCUAAUCAGAAAGCCACGGCUAACUACGUG